rnacentral:rRNA from 1 species
AGCCAUGCGAGUCAUUGUAGUAAUACAAGGCAGACGGCUCAGUAACGCGUAGUCAACCUACCCUAUGGACGGGGAUAACCUCGGGAAACUGAGAAUAAUACCCGAUAGAACAUUAUGCCUGGAAUGGUUUAUGUUUCAAAUAAUUUAUUGCCGUAGGAUGGGACUGCGGCCUAUCAGUUUGUUGGUGAGGUAAUGGCCCACCAAGACUAUUACAGGUACGGGCUCUGAGAGGAGUAGCCCGGAGAUGGGUACUGAGACACGGACCCAGGCCCUAUGGGGCGCAGCAGGCGAGAAAACUUUGCAAUGUGCGAAAGCACGACAAGGUUAAUCCGAGUGGUUUCUGCUAAAGGAACCUUUUGUCAGUCCUAGAAACACUGGUGAAUAAGGGGUGGGCAAGUUCUGGUGUCAGCCGCCGCGGUAAAACCAGCACCUCAAGUGGUCAGGAUGAUUAUUGGGCCUAAAGCAUCCGUAGCCUGCUUUGUUAGUUUUCGGUUAAAUCCAUACGCUCAACGUAUGGGCUGCCGGGAAUACUGCAAAGCUAGGGAGUGGGAGAGGUAGACGGUACUCGGUAGGAAGGGGUAAAAUCCUUUGAUCUAUUGAUGACCACCUGUGGCGAAGGCGGUCUACCAGAACACGUCCGACGGUGAGGGAUGAAAGCUGGGGGAGCAAACCGGAUUAGAUACCCGGGUAGUCCCAGCUGUAAACUAUGCAAACUCGGUGAUGCAUUGGCUUGAUGCCAAUGCAGUGCCGCAGGGAAGCCGUUAAGUUUGCCGCCUGGGAAGUACGUACGCAAGUAUGAAGCUUAAAGGAAUUGGCGGGGGAGCACCACAAGGGGUG